rnacentral:rRNA from 1 species
CCUACGGGUGGCAGCAGUGAGGAAUAUUGGUCAAUGGGCGGAAGCCUGAACCAGCCAAGUAGCGUGCGGGAUGAAGGCCCUACGGGUCGUAAACCGCUUUUGCACGGGGAUAACACCCUCCACUUGUGUAGGUCUGCAGGUACCGUUCGAAUAAGGGCCGGCUAAUUCCGUGCCAGCAGCCGCGGUAAUCCGGAAGGCCCGAGCGUUACCCGGUUUAAUGGGGUUAAACGGGAGCGUGGUCGGGCGUUCAAGUCAGCGGUAAAAUCGCGCGGCUCAACCGCGCCCCGCAGUUGAAACUGGACGCCUUGAGUUCACAACAGGCAGGCGGAAUUCGUGGUGUAGCGGUGAAAUGCAUAGAUAUCACGAGGAACCCCGAUUGCGAAGGCAGCCUGCCGGGGUGCGACUGACGCUGAGGCUCGAAGGUGCGGGUAUCAAACAGGAUUAGAUACCCCGGUAGUC